rnacentral:lncRNA from 12 species
AACAUCCUCUGCUUGCAGCCCCCCGGCGUUGACAGGCACACCUUCCACUAGAUCAGGAGAAGAUCACGCCGUUCCCGCCGUCCCCUCUGGCAGCGGCUCUCCGCUCCCCGUCUUUGUGCGGCCCUGCAGCGGAGCCAGCCGCACGGGGCGCGGCUCUGCAGCCAGCGC